rnacentral:rRNA from 1 species
UAGGGAAUCUUCGGCAAUGGGGGCAACCCUGACCGAGCAACGCCGCGUGAGUGAAGAAGGUUUUCGGAUCGUAAAGCUCUGUUGUAAGUCAAGAACGAGUGUGAGAGUGGAAAGUUCACACUGUGACGGUAGCUUACCAGAAAGGGACGGCUAACUACGUGCCAGCAGCCGCGGUAAUACGUAGGUCCCGAGCGUUGUCCGGAUUUAUUGGGCGUAAAGCGAGCGCAGGCGGUUUGAUAAGUCUGAAGUUAAAGGCUGUGGCUCAACCAUAGUUCGCUUUGGAAACUGUCAAACUUGAGUGCAGAAGGGGAGAGUGGAAUUCCAUGUGUAGCGGUGAAAUGCGUAGAUAUAUGGAGGAACACCGGUGGCGAAAGCGGCUCUCUGGUCUGUAACUGACGCUGAGGCUCGAAAGCGUGGGGAGCGAACAGGAUUAGAUACCCUGGUAGUCCACGCCGUAAACGAUGAGUGCUAGGUGUUAGACCCUUUCCGGGGUUUAGUGCCGUAGCUAACGCAUUAAGCACUCCGCCUGGGGAGUACGACCGCAAGGUUG